UACGUAGGGUGCAAGCGUUGUCCGGAAUUAUUGGGCGUAAAGAGCUCGUAGGCGGUUUGUCGCGUCUGCUGUGAAAACUCGGGGCUUAACUCCGGGCCUGCAGUGGGUACGGGCAGACUAGAGUGCGGUAGGGGAGACUGGAAUUCCUGGUGUAGCGGUGAAAUGCGUAGAGAUCAGGAGGAACACCCGUGGCGAAGGCAGUUCUCUGGGCCGUAACUGACGCUGAGGAGCGAAAGCGUGGGGAGCGAACAGG
rnacentral:rRNA from 1 species